UGGGGAAUAUUGCACAAUGGGGGAAACCCUGAUGCAGCGACGCCGCGUGAGUGGUGAAGGCCUUCGGGUCGUAAAGCUCUGUCGUAUGGGACUAACAAAAUGAAGGUACCAUGCAAGAAAGGAUCGGCUAACUUCGUGCCAGCAGCCGCGGUAAGACGAGGGAUCCUAGCGUUGUUCGGAAUUAUUGGGCGUAAAGCGGGUGUAGGCGGACUUAUAAGUCAGGUGUGAAAUCCCAGGGCUCAACCCUGGAAGUGCACUUGAUACUGCAAGUCUUGAGUGUGGUAGAGGCUAUUAGAAUUCCUGGUGUAGUGGUGAAAUACGUAGAUAUCAGGAGGAAUACCGGAGGCGAAGGCGGAUAGCUGGGCCAACACUGACGCUGAGACCCGAAAGCGUGGGGAUCAAACAGGAUUAGAUACCCCAGUAGUCCCUGAGCGGGCUGGCAAGGCGCAU
rnacentral:rRNA from 1 species